AUUGAACGCUGGCGGCAUGCCUUACACAUGCAAGUCGAACGGUAACAGGUCUUCGGAUGCUGACGAGUGGCGAACGGGUGAGUAAUACAUCGGAACGUGCCUAGUAGUGGGGGAUAACUACUCGAAAGAGUGGCUAAUACCGCAUGAGAUCUACGGAUGAAAGCAGGGGAUCGCAAGACCUUGUGCUACUAGAGCGGCCGAUGGCAGAUUAGGUAGUUGGUGGGAUAAAAGCUUACCAAGCCGACGAUCUGUAGCUGGUCUGAGAGGACGAUCAGCCACACUGGGACUGAGACACGACCCAGACUCCUACGGGAGGCAGCAGUGGGGAAUUUUGGACAAUGGGCGCAAGCCUGAUCCAGCAAUGCCGCGUGCAGGAUGAAGGCCUUCGGGUUGUAAACUGCUUUUGUACGGAACGAAAAGCCCCGGGUUAAUACCCUGGGGUCAUGACGGUACCGUAAGAAUAAGCACCGGCUAACUCCGUGCCAGCCGCCGCCGUAA
rnacentral:rRNA from 1 species